rfam:Paramecium tetraurelia chromosome undetermined scaffold_68, whole genome shotgun sequence.
GCCGGUUUAGCUCAGUGGUUAGAGCAUUUGCCUCGUAAGCAAAGGGUCGGGUGUUCAAUUCCCCCAACUGGCU